AACAGGGCCGGAGUCAGUGGGUGGGACACACCUCACCAACGACCAUACCCUACCACAAUCGAUAUGCCUCCCGACGGAAGAAGGGUCAAGCUUAUAUGGACUUGCGGCACCCAACAUCUAAGCUGUGUCAAGAAGUCCAACUAAAGGUCACCAACAUCACCUGCAGUCGAGGCAAUUGGAUAAAGAAGAAAGGCACUGAAUUAAUCUGCAAUCUGAACUCCUUUCCUGAAUUCAAAUGUGGAUUAAAGUGGACAGACUUGGUAAAUUUAGACUUCACCAAUAUAAAAAUAGAUUGCAAACAACUGCAUUAGACAGAAAACGCAUAUCGUAAUAUGAAUAAAGUUCAAUGGAUUUCCAUUGCUCAUCAAAAGGUACUUUACCCAAGAUCCUCAACUCUAUAAGGAUUGUUUAAUUAAUAAGCACGAUCCACCAUCAAGGACACGACAUAUUCAAAAUAGUAUCCUGAGCACCCUGGUAUGUUACAAAUCAUUAUCUCCACCAAGAAAACGGUUUAAACCACCAGCAGAGAUCUUAACACACAUAUUGACCUGCUAGCACUGAUUACCUAACCAAUCAACUGACACAUGCUGCAUGACUUAUUGUCAGUGAAUAAGUUGAAAAUAAGUUAAUUACAAAAAAUCUAACUAUAUUAUGUUUUGUUUGAUAUAAACUCAACUUUUGUAAAAUGCACAAGGACUGAGUAAAAAUUUUAAAUUAAUGUGAAAAUGCAUUAUUUAGUGAAGACACGAUAAAACCAGGCCUCAAAAUAAAGUCCAAGGUUAUUUUUUGAUACUAACAUAUAUGUCAAUAAAUCAUUGUAAUCUCUCA